rnacentral:rRNA from 1 species
AGAGUUUGAUCCUGGCUCAGGACUAACGCUGGCGGCGUGCCUAACACAUGCAAGUCGAGCGGGGGAGCAAUCCCUACCGGCAGACGGGUGAGUAACGCGUAAAUAACGUGCCCCUUGGUUUGGGAUAGCUGGCCGAAAGGCCAGGUAAUACCGGAUGUGGCCUUUGAGAGACAUCUCUUGAAGAAGAAAGCUUUAAUGCACCGGGGGAUCGGUUUGCGACCUAUCAGCUAGUUGGUGAGGUAACGGCUCACCAAGGCUUCGACGGGUAGCCGGUCUGAGAGGAUGAUCGGCCACACUGGCACUGAGAUACGGGCCAGACUCCUACGGGAGGCAGCAGUGAGGAAUUUUGCGCAAUGGGCGAAAGCCUGACGCACCGACGCCGCGUGCG